rnacentral:rRNA from 1 species
CACAGGUGCUGCAUGGCUGUCGUCAGCUCGUGUCGUGAGAUGUUGGGUUAAGUCCCGCAACGAGCGCAACCCUUGUCAUUAGUUGCUACAUUUAGUUGGGCACUCUAAUGAGACUGCCGGUGACAAACCGGAGGAAGGUGGGGAUGACGUCAAGUCCUCAUGGCCCUUAUGGGUAGGGCCUCACACGUCAUACAAUGGCGCAUACAGAGGGUUGCCAACCCGCGAGGGGGAGCCAAUCCCAGAAAGUGCGUCGUAGUCCGGAUCGGAGUCUGCAACUCGACUCCGUGAAGUCGGAAUCGCUAGUAAUCGCGGAUCAGCAUGUCGCGGUGAAUACGUUCCCGGGUCUUGUACACACCGCCCGUCACACCAUGGGAGCGGGUUUCACCAGAAGUAGCUAGCCUAACCUGCAAAGGAGGGCGGUUACCACGGUGAGAUUCGUGACUGGGGUGAAGUCGUAACAAGGUAGCCGUA